UGAGGCAUCAGGUAACGGAGAGGUUCGAUCAUGGCUCGAUUGAACGCUGGCGGGAUGCUUCCUGCAUGCAAGUCGAACGGCAGCACGGACUUCCGGUCUGGUGGCGAGUGGCGAACAGGUGAGUAAUGUAUGGGAACUUUGAUGCCUAGUAGCGGGGGAUAACUACGCGAAAGCGUAGCUAAUGCCGCAUACGCCCUUCGGGGAAAGCAGGACCUUCCGGGCCUCGCACUAUUCGAAACCGUGGAUGCUGGUUGGUGGGGUAGCGGCUCACCAAGGCGACGAUCCGUAGCUGGUUUGAAGGACGACCAGCCACACUGGGACUACGAGACGGCCCAGACUCCUACGGGAGGCAGCAGUGGGAAAUUUUGGACAAUGGGGGAAACCCUGAUCCAGCCAUCCCGCGUGCACGAUGAAGGCCUUCGGGUUGUAAAGCACUUUUGGCAGGAAAAGAAACGGCACGGGAUAAUACCCCGAUGCAACUGACGGUACCUGCAGAAUGGCACCGGCUAACUACGUGCCAGCGAGCCGCGGUAUGCGUAAAGGUCCGCAAGCGUUAAUCGAUUACUGGGCGUAAAGCGUGCGCGGGCGGUUCGGAAAAGAAAGAUGUUGAUCCCAGAGCUUAACUUCAGGUGCGACAUACCGAAAUGAAGUGUGUCAGAGGGAGGUGGAAUUCGAAGCGGUAAAUCGUAGAUAUGCGGAGGACACCGAUGGCGAAGAGCAGCCUCCUGGGAUAACACUGACGCUCAUCACAACGUAGGAGCAAACAGGAUUAGAUGCCCUGAUAGAGUCACGCGCAACGAUGUCAACUAGCUGUUGGGGCCUUGGGCCUUGGUGGCGCGACUAACGCGUGAAGUUGACCGCCUGGGGGAGUACGGUCGCAAGAUUAAAACUCCAAGAUUGACGGGGACCCACAAGCGGUCGUUGAUGUGGAUUAAUUCGAUGCAACGCGAAAAACCUUAUCUACCCUUAAACACAUGGAAUCCCGAAGAGAUUUGGGGAGUGCUCGCAAGAGAACCGGAACACAGGUGCUGCAUGGCUAUGUCGUCAGCUCGUGUCGUGAGAUGUUGGGUUAGGUCCCGCAACGAGCGCAACCCUAUCAUUAGUUGCUACGAAGGGCACUCUAAUGAGACUGCCGGUGACAAACCGGAGGAAGGUGGGGAUGACGUCGAAGUCCUCAUGGCCCUGUAUGGUAGGGCUUCACCCACGUCCUAUACAAUGGUCGGGACAGAGGGUCGCCAACCCGCGAGGAGCCAAUCGAAACCCGAUCGUAGUCCGGAUCGCAGUCUGCAACUCGACUGCGUGAAUCGCUAGUAAUCGCGGAUCAGCAUGUCGCGGUGAAUACGUUCCGGGUCUUGUACACACUGCCCGUCACACCAUGGGAGUGGGUUUUACCAGAAGUAGUUAGCCUAACCGUAAGGGGCGAUUACCGUGGAUUCGCCGACUGGUGAAGUCGUAACAAGGUA
rnacentral:rRNA from 1 species